rnacentral:rRNA from 1 species
CGUGCCUAUACAUGCAAGUCGAACGCACUCUCGUUUAGAUUGAAGGAGCUUGCUCCUGAUUGAUAACAUUUGAGUGAGUGGCGGACGGGUGAGUAACACGUGGGUAACCUGCCCUAAAGUGGGGGAUAACAUUUGGAAACAGAUGCUAAUACCGCAUAAAACCUAACACCGCAUGGUGUAGGGUUGAAAGAUGGUUUCGGCUAUCACUUUAGGAUGGACCCGCGGUGCAUUAGUUAGUUGGUGAGGUAAAGGCUCACCAAGACCGUGAUGCAUAGCCGACCUGAGAGGGUAAUCGGCCACACUGGGACUGAGACACGGCCCAGACUCCUACGGGAGGCAGCAGUAGGGAAUCUUCCACAAUGGACGAAAGUCUGAUGGAGCAACGCCGCGUGAGUGAAGAAGGUUUUCGGAUCGUAAAACUCUGUUGUUGGAGAAGAAUGUAUCUGAUAGUAACUGAUCAGGUAGUGACGGUAUCCAACCAGAAAGCCACGGCUAACUACGUG